rnacentral:rRNA from 1 species
AUGCACCCCUCCUCCGCGAUGCUUCGGCCGGCAGCAGCACCUCUCCUCUCCGGCCAUCUACUCCCUGCGAUGUGCCAGACACGUAGGAUCGAGCUCAAACGUCUCCACUCUCCAGGUUCGCCGCUUCGACCUGUGUUAACUGCUUGCUCCUGUAGACAAGCGUGGGGCCUCCUCAGCCUAGCAUGCGACCUCCUCCGUUGCAUGCAGUUGCCUGUUGCUCACUGCCAGCCGUUUAAUGGACGCAGCCAUAGGCCUGCUUGGCACGUCAACAGGUUACAUCCCAGCAAUCACGUACACUGGUCCACAUCCAGUAGAAAAUCGGUAGACGUUGUACAACUGCCUACUUAG